AGUGAACGCUGGCGGUAGGCCUAACACAUGCAAGUCGAACGGCAGCACAGGAGAGCUUGCUCUCUGGGUGGCGAGUGGCGGACGGGUGAGGAAUACAUCGGAAUCUACUCUGUCGUGGGGGAUAACGUAGGGAAACUUACGCUAAUACCGCAUACGACCUACGGGUGAAAGCAGGGGACCUUCGGGCCUUGCGCGAUUGAAUGAGCCGAUGUCGGAUUAGCUAGUUGGCGAGGUAAAGGACCACCAAGGCGACGAUCCGUAGCUGGUCUGAGAGGAUGAUCAGCCACACUGGAACUGAGACACGGUCCAGACUCCUACGGGAGGCAGCAGUGGGGAAAUUUGGACAAUGGGCGCAAGCCUGAUCCAGCCAUACCGCGUGGGUGAAGAAGGCCUUCGGGUUGUAAAGCCCUUUUGUUGGGAAAGAAAUCCAGCUGGCUAAUACCCGGUUGGGAUGACGGUACCCAAAGAAUAAGCACCGGCUAACUUCGUGCCAGCCGCCGCCGUAA
rnacentral:rRNA from 1 species